UACGGAGGGUGCAAGCGUUAUCCGGAUUUACUGGGUUUAAAGGGUGCGUAGGUGGAUUGGUAAGUCAGUGGUGAAAUACUACAGCGCAACUGUGGAACUGCCAUUGAUACUAUCAGUCUUGAAUACCGUGGAGGUCAGCGGAAUAUGUCAUGUAGCGGUGAAAUGCUUAGAUAUGACAUAGAACACCAAUUGCGAAGGCAGCUGGCUACACGAAUAUUGACACUGAGGCACGAAAGCGUGGGGAUCAAACAGG
rnacentral:rRNA from 1 species